rnacentral:rRNA from 1 species
CAGUCGAGCGGUAACAGAGAGUAGCUUGCUACUCUGCUGACGAGCGGCGGACGGGUGAGUAAUGCUUGGGAAUAUGCCUUAUGGUGGGGGACAACAGUUGGAAACGACUGCUAAUACCGCAUGAUGUCUACGGACCAAAGUGGGGGACCUUCGGGCCUCACGCCAUAAGAUUAGCCCAAGUGGGAUUAGCUAGUUGGUGAGGUAAUGGCUCACCAAGGCGACGAUCCCUAGCUGGUUUGAGAGGAUGAUCAGCCACACUGGGACUGAGACACGGCCCAGACUCCUACGGGAGGCAGCAGUGGGGAAUAUUGCACAAUGGGCGCAAGCCUGAUGCAGCCAUGCCGCGUGUGUGAAGAAGGCCUUCGGGUUGUAAAGCACUUUCAGUAAGGAGGAAAGGUUAAGUGUUAAUAGCACUUAGCUGUGACGUUACUUACAGAAGAAGCACCGGCUAACUCCGUGCCAGC